rnacentral:rRNA from 1 species
AUUGAACGCUGGCGGCAGGCCUAACACAUGCAAGUCGAGCGGGGUUUUCGGACCUAGCGGCGGACGGGUGAGUAAUGCGUAGGAAGCUACCCGAUAGAGGGGGAUACCAGUUGGAAACGACUGUUAAUACCGCAUAAUGUCUACGGACCAAAGUGUGGGACCUUCGGGCCACAUGCUAUCGGAUGCGCCUACGUGGGAUUAGCUAGUUGGUGGGGUAAUGGCUCACCAAGGCGACGAUCCCUAGCUGGUUUGAGAGGAUGAUCAGCCAACCUGGAACUGAGACACGGUCCAGACUCCUACGGGAGGCAGCGGUGGGGAGGAUUGGACAAUGGGCGCAAGCCUGAUCCAGCCAUGCCGCGUGUGCGAAGAAGGCCUUCGGGUUGUAAAGCACUUUCAGUAGGGAGGAAGGGGGUUGUGUUAAUAGCACAGCAUUUUGACGUUACCUACAGAAGAAGCACCGGCUAACUCUGUGCCAGCCGCCGCCGUAAAAC